AAAGUCGUAACAAGGUUUCCGUAGGUGAACCUGCGGAAGGAUCAUUAAUAAAUGCUACAUUGCAUCCACCUUUCGUACACUGUAAAUAUUUCACUUGAAUUUUGUCUGAUUAAUCUGUUCUGAAAGGAACCUGAAUUAUAAUCUAAUACAACUUUUAACAAUGGAUCUCUUGGCUCUC
rnacentral:misc_RNA from 1 species